rnacentral:rRNA from 1 species
UACGUGGGGGCCGAGCGUUGCCCGGAGUUACUGGGCGUAAAGGGCGCGCAGGCGGCGGCGUGGGUCCGGCGUGAAAGCCCCCGGCUCAACCGGGGAACGUCGUCGGGGACCGCGCCGCUUGAGGGCGGCAGGGGCCGGUGGAAUGCCUGGUGUAGUGGUGAAAUGCGUAGAGAUCCGGAGGAACACCAGUGGCGAAAGCGACUUCCUGGACCAAUACUGACGCUCAUGUGCGAAAGCGUGGGGAGCAAACAGG